rnacentral:rRNA from 1 species
CAUGAAGCUGGAAUCGCUAGUAAUCGCAGGUCAGCAUACUGCGGUGAAUACGUUCCCGGGUCUUGUACACACCGCCCGUCACACCAUGGGAGCCGGAAAUGCCCGAAGCCAGUGACCCAACCUUAGGGAGGAAGCUGUCGAAGGUGGAGCCGGUAACUGGGGUGAAGUCGUAACAAGGUAAC